rnacentral:rRNA from 1 species
GACGAACCGAGCGAACGUUGUUCGGAAUCACUGGGCUUAAAGGGCGCGUAGGCGGGUGCUCAAGUCCGUGGUGAAAUCCUCCGGCUCAACCGGAGAACUGCCUCGGAUACUGGGCGUCUCGAGUGUGGUAGGGGUAUGCGGAACUAUCGGUGGAGCGGUGAAAUGCGUUGAUAUCGAUAGGAACUCCGGUGGCGAAGGCGGCAUACUGGACCACAUCUGACGCUGAGGCGCGAAAGCCAGGGGAGCAAACGGG